AACCACUCACGCCUGGCGUGGUAUUGGGGCACGCGGUCUCCGCGGCCCUCAAAAUUAGUGGCGGUGCCGGUGGGCUCUAAGCGUAGUACAUACUCCCGCUAUAGAGUUCCCCCGGUGGCUCGCCAGAACCCCCUUCUAU
rnacentral:misc_RNA from 1 species